CACCAGGCGCUCGCCAUCGUGCCCCACCUCCAGGCCUGGCUCCAGAGUGGGGCCCCGGUGACAAGCGUCUGGGCGAGGGAAAACCAAGUCCAAAGUUUGUGUCCAUCAUAAGGGGUCUUCGGUGCCUGUCACUCCAUCCGUCUGUCUCGCUUUCAUCGAGUUCACCCCCACGUCCCCUUCCCCUCUGCAGGGCCUCUCGGGUCAGAGGGACGUUGAUCCGGUGCGCGCAGGCUGUGGGAACCACGACACGCUCGCAAAGCCCCGAGCAAAUGCUUCGGAUGCCCCAUGUCCAUAAAAGGUCGCAGUGAAACAUGUGAACGACUGAAAAAGACAAACAGCGAAAGUUUUCCUCCUUUAGAGGAAUGCAUGACGUGUCCAUCAGGAGAUGUUUCCGCUGAAUCCAGUAACGCAUCACGAUCAUCUGCCUCAGGUGUUCGGGUUGAACCUCUUGCCCUGCCGUAGACACGUCUGGGGACUCUCUCUGCACUGACACAGACACGUGUCGGGAUUUAGG